AGUCAGAUAAACUUACAGAGAAGUCGGGUGAAAAUCCCGCGCGGUCCCGCCACCGUAAUAUGUACUGAAAUAUGCAAAAUACAUUAAGCCGGUUCGCUGUAUCUGUCUGGUACAGAUUCACGAUCGAUGGACUUGUACAUACA
rnacentral:sRNA from 2 species